rnacentral:rRNA from 1 species
UGGGGAAUAUUGCACAAUGGCGAAAGCCUGAUGCAGCGACGCCGCGUGAGCGAAGAAGUAUUUCGGUAUGUAAAGCUCUAUCAGCAGGGAAGAUAAUGACGGUACCUGACUAAGAAGCACCGGCUAAAUACGUGCCAGCAGCCGCGGUAAUACGUAUGGUGCAAGCGUUAUCCGGAUUUACUGGGUGUAAAGGGAGCGCAGGCGGUGCGGCAAGUCUGAUGUGAAAGCCCGGGGCUCAACCCCGGUACUGCAUUGGAAACUGUCGUACUAGAGUGUCGGAGGGGUAAGCGGAAUUCCUAGUGUAGCGGUGAAAUGCGU